rnacentral:rRNA from 1 species
UACAGAGGGUGCGAGCGUUGUCCGGAAUCACUGGGCGUAAAGGGCGCGUAGGUGGCGCGACAAGUCAGUGGUGAAAGUUCGACGCUCAACGUCGAAUCGGCCACUGAUACUGUUGGGCUUGAGCACUGUAGAGGCUAAUGGAAUUCCGGGUGUAGCGGUGGAAUGCGUAGAGAUCCGGAAGAACACCGGUGGCGAAGGCGGUUAGCUGAGCAGUUGCUGACACUGAGGCGCGACAGCGUGGGGAGCAAACAGGG